rfam:Methylobacterium platani strain SE2.11 contig_64, whole genome shotgun sequence.
CGGUGCAGCCCUCUUUGGGCGUUUCCUCCCUAGACUUCGGGCCGCCUCGCAAGGGCGGCCUUUUUUCUUGGAAUGC